rnacentral:lncRNA from 1 species
UGUCACGCCCCGGGACCCGGCCUAGGCCCGCCCGGUGCGUGUCCAGACCCGCCAUAUGCCUACACAUAUAAGGCGUCUACAACAAUAGCGAAUAAAUGAACAACAAAUAGAGUGUAUCUAAAGAUAUCAGAGCAAGUAUACAGCUAAGUUCUAACAACAGGUAGAAACAAGGGAAACUAAACCACCAAGGCAAAACGUAAAAUAAUACAUCACAAGUCUCAAGCUACAUAUAAGGGGUGGUCUCUACAAAAAUGGUACAAGUCUCUCAACCUCUCCAAACAAAACUCAGAAGAGAGGUAGACCACCUAUCGUCGAAUUCCUCGCUAGCUAACUCGAGGCGAUUCCUUUCCCGCGAUCCCGAGCCUCUCCCGGGGUGGAAGGCUCUGAAAGAAAACAUAAAACAGGGGGCGUGAGAACUAUAAUUUAUAGUUCCCAGUGGGCAAUUACUGACCUUAGCAAAAUGCACCACUAGGCCCAAGUCAUGAGCAGAUAUAGAAAAUGAAAUAACAACUGCAGAAAUAAAAGCAUAUAAAGAAAUGCUAUACUGCUAUGCCACAAGUAUAUGUGAUAAGAACAUGGAGUACAUCUACUCUAUCAUGAUCCAAUAUGCCAAUACAUACAUACUAUGUUCUAUCACGGCUACCAAGUAUGCUAUGAUGCAACAAGUAAUAC